AAAAAUAGAGAAAAUUUCGGGGUUCAAGAAAAGCAGAAGAAGAAAGAAUAAUAAUCUCGAGCGGAUGUGGUGUUCAGGCCAUAGUUAUCCCUGCGUCACCAUUUAUUUUGGUAUCCAGGUCGACGCUUUUGCUUCGGUGAUCAUGUCGACUUUCUCCGUACCAGACGGGUUUUGUUCAAAGAUUUUGUUUCUUCGCCGAUUCUGACAGGCAUUGUUAAUUAUUUUCCCAUCAGAG
rnacentral:lncRNA from 1 species